rnacentral:rRNA from 1 species
UGGGGAAUUUUGGACAAUGGGGGCAACCCUGAUCCAGCCAUCCCGCGUGUGCGAUGAAGGCCUUCGGGUUGUAAAGCACUUUUGGCAGGGAAGAAACAGCCUGGGAUAAUACCCCGGGCGACUGACGGUACCUGCAGAAUAAGCACCGGCUAACUACGUGCCAGCAGCCGCGGUAAUACGUAGGGUGCAAGCGUUAAUCGGAAUUACUGGGCGUAAAGCGUGCGCAGGCGGUUCGGAAAGAAAGGUGUGAAAUCCCAGGGCUUAACCUUGGAACUGCACUUUUAACUACCGAGCUAGAGUACGUCAGAGGGGGGUAGAAUUCCACGUGUAGCAGUGAAAUGCGUAGAGAUGUGGAGGAAUACCGACUGGCGAAGGCAGCCCCCUGGGAUGAUACUGACGCUCAUGCACGAAAGCGUGGGGAGCAAACAGGAUUAGAUACCCUGGUAGUCCACGCCCUAAACGAUGUCAACUAGCUGUUGGGGUUUAUUAACCUUAGUAGCGCAGCUAACGGCGUGAAGUUGA